GUGCCAGCCGCCGCGGUAAUACCGGCAGCUCGAGUGAUGGCCGAUUUUAUUGGGCCUAAAGCGUCCGUAGCUGGCCCUGCAAGUCCGUCGGGAAAUCCACUCGCCUAACGAGUGGGCGUCCGGCGGAAACUACAGGGCUUGGGACCGGAAGACUUGAGGGGUACGUCUGGGGUAGGAGUGAAAUCCUGUAAUCCUGGACGGACCGCCGAUGGCGAAAGCACCUCAAGACGACGGAUCCGACAGUGAGGGACGAAAGCUAGGGUCUCGAACCGGAUUAGAAACCCUUGUAGUCC
rnacentral:rRNA from 1 species